rnacentral:rRNA from 1 species
GUUGAACGCUGGCGGCAGGCCUAACACAUGCAAGUCGAGCGAGAGGAGGAAGGGUGAGUAAGGUAUGGGGACUGCCCGUGAGAGGGGGAUAACAACUGGAAAAGGUAGCUAAUACGGCAUACUAUCGGAUAAAGCAUAUGGGAGUAGCUCGUAGGUGCGGUAAAGGCUCACGUAGGCGACGGAACCUAGCGGGUCUGAGAGGAUGAUCAGCCAAACUGGAACUGAGACACGGCCGAGACUCUUACGGAGGCAGCAGUGGGGAAUAUUGCACAAUGGGCGCAAGCCUGAUGCAGCCAUGCGGCUGGUGUGAAGAAGGCACGAGGGUGGUAAAGUACUUUCAGUCGGGAGGCGUUAUCGGCAGAGGAAGCCCCGGCUAACUCCGUGCCAGCAGCCGCGGUAAUUC